rfam:Felis catus isolate Cinnamon breed Abyssinian chromosome B3, whole genome shotgun sequence.
GCCUGGGUGGCUCAGUCGGUUGAGCUGACGACUUCGGCUCAGGUCAUGAUCUCACAGCUCGUGGGUUCAAGCCCCACAUCGGGCU